rnacentral:rRNA from 1 species
UACAGAGGGUGCGAGCGUUGUUCGGAAUUAUUGGGCGUAAAGGGCGCGUAGGCGGCCAUGCGUGUCUUCCGUGAAAUCCCUCGGCUUAACUGAGGACGUGCGGAAGAAACUGCAAGGCUCGAGUCCGGGAGAGGGGGGUGGAAUUCCCAGUGUAGCGGUGAAAUGCGUAGAUAUUGGGAGGAACACCGGUGGCGAAGGCGGCCCCCUGGACCGGUACUGACGCUGAGGUGCGAAAGCGUGGGGAGCAAACAGG